GACAGAGGGUGCAAACGUUGUUCGGAAUUACUGGGCGUAAAGCGCGUGUAGGCGGCCCUGCAAGUCGGAUGUGAAAUCCCACGGCUCAACCGUGGAAGUGCAUUCGAAACUGCAGGGCUAGAGUCCUGGAGAGGAAGGUGGAAUGCUUGGUGUAGAGGUGAAAUUCGUAGAUAUCAAGCGGAACACCGGUGGCGAAGGCGGCCUGCUGGGCAGUUUUGCUGACACUGAGGCGCGACAGCGUGGGGAGCAAACAGG
rnacentral:rRNA from 1 species